GUCUUCGUGGCUCAGUCGGUAGAGCGUUGGUCUCAUAUCAUUACAUAUGACUCUGUUUACAGAUAGGGAUAUCCAAAGGUCGAGAGUUCGAGCCUCUCCGAGGACA
rfam:Colletotrichum orbiculare MAFF 240422 contig02464, whole genome shotgun sequence.